CAGCUGUUGGACUUUGGGAGCAGAUCUGGACCUGAAACUUGGUGAUCCCUGUUGCUGGGAGCAUGUGAACCUCAAGGAGAUGGCUUCCUGGCAGGACAACAAGACUCCUAGGAUGUUUAAAGAGACAAAUCCAUUGCAGGAGCUAGGACACGCCAACAUUUAGAAGAUCCAGGAUUUCUCAUUCACUAUGAACCAUGCCCAAAGGAACUGGAGGCCAGAAUAUUAUUUUUAUCAAACUCUUGGAAUAUCAGAGCAAGUUUUCCUGAAGAA